AUCCUUUUUUUUCAAACUUUUGUGCGUGUUUCUUGGUGGUAGAUCACAAACUUUGCAGCCCUCGCACAAGAGUAUAGCCAAUUCAAUGUCGAUGUUGGAUCCUUCGCCCGUGUUGACCUAGAGGAUUACCCAAAGCAAGAUAACCUAUGUGAUUGUGGCUUUUUCGGGCUCAAAUAUGUGGAGAACUUUGAUGGGAAGUCAAUGAAAGAGUUCAAUCAGGAAGACGUGGCGCGAUACCGCAUGGAUGUGGUGCACAACCUUUGCACUCACCCAAUGAACAAUGCCCCAAUGGAGCGGGCAUUCAAUGAAGAGUUGGCGGCUUAAUUUGCGGGAGGGUUCAAGACGAUCAAGCUCGUUUUCUUUCGUUAGGUCUAGAAUCAUGUCUGAGGUGGCAGCGUUCUGAUAGUAUUAGAGUAGUGCACGUUCGUAUGUACCCUA